rnacentral:lncRNA from 1 species
UUAUGGCCAUAGACCCGUUCCUACUGGAAGGAAACUCACCUCACACUGCUGAAGUCCCGCAGACUCAAUCCUACACUGCUGAAGUCCCACAGACUCGACCUUAGCUGCUAGAUGACAGAUCCUCGAUCUGUCAACAUCAAAAUAACACCCAAUUAAUAUUUGGGUUCUAACACACAACUAUAAAUACAUACUUUGGGUAAUUACUACAUUACCCCAAGCUUGGCUUACCCAAGCCCACGGUCCAAUCCAUAGACCCAAAGUCAACUAGGGAUCAAAGCCCAACAUAUGGCCCAACUUUCCAAAUUGGGCCUAAUAUCAUACAACUCUCUAGGCCCAAUAAUACACCCAAGUGAUAUUAGGGUUUCUCAUAAAAUAACAAUUAGGGUUAAGUGUUUCUCACUUAACCCAUUAAGGGUUUAUCCCACUAAGGACUUAAUUCGUUAGGACUUAAUCCAUUAAGUCCAUUAUUGCUUAGAUUAAUCUUGCCAAUGAUUAUUAUUUAAUAUUUCACUUAUUAAAUAAUUCUCAUGUGUGUCCUGAUAAUUUCUCAAAUAUUAAGAUUUCCUAAUUCACAAUUCAAUCCCAAUGGCCCAAAAGUGGGUCCAAAAAGGUCCAAGGCCCAAAUACUCCUAAUUAGGGUUUUCCACCCAAACAUGGCCCAAUAGGCCCAAAACCGAUCUCUAAGCCCAUUAGGGUUUGCUAGCGGGGCCCCACCCACUACCACCUCGGGUAGUGGUGGUUGAUGGCGGCGGCCACCACCUUACGGUGGUGGUUUGGUUCUUUUUUUUCAUUAUUCUUGCUGAUUACAGUUACAAUGCUUUGAGCCAAAAUAAACACACACACACAGCCACCCUAGUGGUGGUCGGCGGUGGCUCGUGGUGGCGGGGACUUCUCUUGAUUUUCCGGCCAACAAACCCAAUCAUACAUCACAAAAGUAACAGUCAUAUGCCCUAACUAAUUACAAAACAACCCUAGCCACCCACCUGGUGGCACACUGCGAUGGCAGCCACCACCGUGAGUCCUUACAGUUCACAAAAUCUCCAGCAGCAGCGAACCUGAGACGACCGCAACAGGAACAAGGAAGGUGGCGGCGAAGGCACAAAUCACCAACGCAGCAGGCGGCGACCUUGUUGUCGUCGAAUGGAAGCAACAACGACGAUUUCAGAUGACAGCAGCGACGCACAACUCGUCGGACCUCACUCUUGCCGGCAGAAGAAGCAACGACCGCAUCGAUGUAACAGUGCUAAAAGCACCAGUAGCGGUUAGGGUCAGCGUUCGAUGGCCCUAGCGACACCGGCGACGUGGCUGAAGACGGAGCAGAAGAAGAGAAAGGAGAAGGAGCAUCCGAGAAUGCUAUCACGCUGCCCCGAUGUCGCCCAGGUGGUUUCUUCGUUCGCUCAUAGCGUCAUUGGCAAAAAUGGUUGUGACGGCGUCUUGACAGUGAGGCAGCAACCAGCGGUCGACGGAACUCCAUCUGACCGGAACGCAAGAGGGGAAAACGGGAUGAUGGUGGCUGGUGAACACGAGUGACGG